rnacentral:rRNA from 1 species
ACAUGCAAGUCGAGCGGUAGCACAAGGGAGCUUGCUCCCUGGGUGACGAGCGGCGGACGGGUGAGUAAUGUCUGGGAAACUGCCUGAUGGAGGGGGAUAACUACUGGAAACGGUAGCUAAUACCGCAUAACGUCGCAAGACCAAAGAGGGGGACCUUCGGGCCUCUUGCCAUCAGAUGUGCCCAGAUGGGAUUAGCUAGUAGGUGGGGUAAUGGCUCACCUAGGCGACGAUCCCUAGCUGGUCUGAGAGGAUGACCAGCCACACUGGAACUGAGACACGGUCCAGACUCCUACGGGAGGCAGCAGUGGGGAAUAUUGCACAAUGGGCGCAAGCCUGAUGCAGCCAUGCCGCGUGUGUGAAGAAGGCCUUCGGGUUGUAAAGCACUUUCAGCGAGGAGGAAGGUGGUGAGCUUAAUACGUUCAUCAAUUGACGUUACUCGCAGAAGAAGCACCGGCUAACUCCGUGCCAGCAGCCGCGGUAAUACGGAGGGUGCAAGCGUUAAUCGGAAUUACUGGGCGUAAAGCGCACGCAGGCGGUUUGUUAAGUCAGAUGUGAAAUCCCCGGGCUCAACCUGGGAACUGCAUUUGAAACUGGCAAGCUAGAGUCUCGUAGAGGGGGGUAGAAUUCCAGGUGUAGCGGUGAAAUGCGUAGAGAUCUGGAGG